UACGGAGGGUGCAAGCGUUAAUCGGAAUUACUGGGCGUAAAGCGCACGCAGGCGGUCUGUCAAGUCGGAUGUGAAAUCCCCGGGCUCAACCUGGGAACUGCAUUCGAAACUGGCAGGCUAGAGUCUUGUAGAGGGGGGUAGAAUUCCAGGUGUAGCGGUGAGAUGCGUCGAGAUCUGGAGGAAUACCGGUGGCGAAGGCGGCCCCCUGGACAAAGACUGACGCUCAGGUGCGAAAGCGUGGGGAGCAAACAGGGUUAGAUACCCUGGUAGUCCAUGCUGUAAACGAUGUCGACUUGGAGGUUGUUCCCUUGAGGAGUGGCUUCCGGAGCUAACGCGUUAAGUCGACCGCCUGGGGAGUACGGCCGCAAGGUUAAACUCAAAUGAAUUGACGGGGGCCCGCACAAGCGGUGGAGCAUGUGGUUUAAUUCGAUGCAACGCGAAGAACCUUACCUACUCUUGACAUCCACGGAACUUUUCAGAGAUGAAUUGGUGCCUUCGGGAACCGUGAGACAGGUGCUGCAUGGCUGUCGUCGGCUCGUGUUGUGAAAUGUUGGGUUAAGUCCCGCAACGAGCGCAACCCUUACCCUUUGUUGCCAGCGAUUCGGUCGGGAACUCAAAGGAGACUGCCAGUGAUAAACUGGAGGAAGGUGGGGAUGACGUCAAGUCAUCAUGGCCCUUACGAGUAGGGCUACACACGUGCUACAAUGGCAUAUACAAAGAGAAGCGACCUCGCGAGAGCAAGCGGACCUCAUAAAGUAUGUCGUAGUCCGGAUCGGAGUCUGCAACUCGACUCCGUGAAGUCGGAAUCGCUAGUAAUCGUGGAUCAGAAUGUCACGGUGAAUACGUUCCCGGGCC
rnacentral:rRNA from 1 species